UCAUUUUAUGAUCUGUUCAUGUCCCUCC
rnacentral:piRNA from 1 species